rnacentral:rRNA from 1 species
UACGUAGGGGGCAAGCGUUGUCCGGAAUCAUUGGGCGUAAAGCGCGUGUAGGCGGCUAGGUAAGUCUGCUCUGAAAGCCCGGGGCUCAACCCCCGGGAGGCGGGUGGAUACUGUCUAGCUCGAGUCCGGAAGGGGCGAGUGGAAUUCCUGGUGUAGCGGUGAAAUGCGCAGAUAUCAGGAGGAACACCCAAUGGCGAAGGCAGCUCGCUGGAACGGUACUGACGCUGAGGCGCGAAAGCGUGGGGGAGCAAACAGG